GUAGGUGAACCUGCGGAGGGAUCAUUAACACGUAUCCUUACGUCCACUCUUCAAACCCCAAACCGUGCUCCAAAUAUCCCCACUCGGAUUUCGACGGACUUGUAAGUCAUGGGUGACGACUUACAGUUCUAUUAAUCGUACCGUUUCAGAUUGAUGCCAGCAAUGGCUCUCUGGCUGUAUAGGUUAAAGUCGGUCUAGUAGUGGUAGUAAUUAGUCACUCGGCUUUUUGGCCAACCCUGUCUCGACCAGG
rnacentral:misc_RNA from 1 species